CCUACGGGAGGCAGCAGUAAGGAAUAUUGGACAAUGGACGCAAGUCUGAUCCAGCCAUGCCGCGUGAAGGAUUAAGGCCCUCUGGGUUGUAAACUUCUUUUAUAGGGGACGAAAAAGGGCUUUCUAGCUCGACUGACGGUACCCUAUGAAUAAGCACCGGCUAACUCCGUGCCAGCAGCCGCGGUAAUACGGAGGGUGCAAGCGUUAUCCGGAUUCACUGGGUUUAAAGGGUGCGUAGGCGGGCAUUUAAGUCAGUGGUGAAAUCUUCGAGCUCAACUCGGAAACUGCCAUUGAUACUAUUUGUCUUGGAUAUUGUGGAGGUGAGCGGAAUAUGUCAUGUAGCGGUGAAAUGCUUAGAUAUGACAUAGAACACCGAUUGCGAAGGCAGCUCGCUACACAAAUAUUGACGCUGAGGCACGAAAGCGUGGGGAUCAAACAGGAUUAGAUACCCUGGUAGUCCACGCCCUAAACUAUGGAUACUCGACAUUUGCGAUACACAGUAAGUGUCUGAGCGAAAGCAUUAAGAUCCCACCUGGAAGUACGACCGCAAGGUUGAAACUCAAAGAGAUUAGACGGNGAGAGAGACGACGACGGACGACGAGGAGGGAGGAGG
rnacentral:rRNA from 1 species